CACGUAGGCACCAAGCGUUGUCCGGAUUUAUUGGGCGUAAAGAGCUCGUAGGCGGUUGAGUAAGUCGGGUGUGAAAACUCUGGGCUUAAACCCAGAGUCGCCACUCGAUACUGCUCUGACUUGAGUUCGGUAGGGGAGCAGGGAAUUCCUAGUGUAGCGGUGAAAUGCGCAGAUAUUAGGAGGAACACCGGUGGCGAAGGCGCUGCUCUGGGCCGAAACUGACGCUGAGGAGCGAAAGCGUGGGUAGCAAACAGG
rnacentral:rRNA from 1 species